rnacentral:piRNA from 1 species
UGGAAGACACGACUGCCUCCAUGUUGGCUA